rnacentral:tRNA from 1 species
UCCGCGGUAGAUCAACGGUAGAUCGGCGCCCUGUUAAGGCGAUGGUUGGAGGUUCGAAUCCUCCCCGCGGAGCCG